CAUGCAGUCGAACGAGGUAGCAAUACCUAGUGGCGGACGGGUGAGGAAUACGUACGGAUCUGCCCUUAAGUGGGGGAUAACCCGGGGAAACCCGGAUUAAUACCGCAUGAUCUCGAGAGAGCAAAGCAGGGGAUCGCAAGACCUUGCGCUUUUGGAGGAACCUACGUCUGAUUAGCUAGUUGGUGAGGUAACGGCUCACCCAGGCGACGAUCCGUAACUGGUCUGAGAGGAUGAUCAAUCACACCGGAACUGAAACACGGUCCGGACUCCUACGGGAGGCAGCAGUGGGGAAUAUUGGACAAUGGGCGAAAGCCUGAUCCAGCAAUGCCGCGUGUGUGAAGAAGGCCUUCUGGUUGUAAAGCACUUUAAGUUGGGAAGAAAAAGCUCUGGCUAAUAUCUAUAGCCUUGACGGUACCAACAGAAUAAGCACCGGCUAACUCUGUGCCAGCAUCCGCGGUAAUACAGAGGGUGCUAGCGUUAAUCGGAUUUACUGGGCGUAAAGCGUGCGUAGGCGGUUUGAUAAGUCGAUUGUGAAAGCCCCGGGCUUAACCUGGGAAUUGCAGUUGAUACUGUCAGACUAGAAAACGGUAGAGGGAGGCGGAACUCCAGGUGUAGCGGUGAAAUGC
rnacentral:rRNA from 1 species